GGUGGGUUGGCAGAAUGGCAAUGCCGUGGUCCUGAAAACCCCCGGGAGUAAUCCCUUGUAGGUUCGAGUCCUACACCCACCG
rfam:Berkelbacteria bacterium GW2011_GWA2_46_7 TX60_C0037, whole genome shotgun sequence.